rnacentral:rRNA from 1 species
CAUGCAAGUCGAGGGGCAGCAUGGUCUUAGCUUGCUAAGGCCGAUGGCGACCGGCGCACGGGUGAGUAACACGUAUCCAACCUGCCGUCUACUCUUGGACAGCCUUCUGAAAGGAAGAUUAAUACAAGAUGGCAUCAUGAGUCCGCAUGUUCACAUGAUUAAAGGUAUUCCGGUAGACGAUGGGGAUGCGUUCCAUUAGAUAGUAGGCGGGGUAACGGCCCACCUAGUCUUCGAUGGAUAGGGGUUCUGAGAGGAAGGUCCCCCACAUUGGAACUGAGACACGGUCCAAACUCCUACGGGAGGCAGCAGUGAGGAAUAUUGGUCAAUGGGCGAGAGCCUGAACCAGCCAAGUAGCGUGAAGGAUGACUGCCCUAUGGGUUGUAAACUUCUUUUAUAAAGGAAUAAAGUCGGGUAUGCAUACCCGUUUGCAUGUACUUUAUGAAUAAGGAUCGGCUAACUCCGUGCCAGCAGCCGCGGUAAUACGGAGGAUCCGAGCGUUAUCCGGAUUUAUUGGGUUUAAAGGGAGCGUAGAUGGAUGUUUAAGUCAGUUGUGAAAGUUUGCGGCUCAACCGUAAAAUUGCAGUUGAUACUGGAUAUCUUGAGUGCAGUUGAGGCAGGCGGAAUUCGUGGUGUAGCGGUGAAAUGCUUAGAUAUCACGA